UGCCCCCAGACUGUCCUCGAACUUGUGAUCCUCCUGCCUCCACCUCCCCAAAACUGGGGUUGCAGGCGUGUGCGACCACGCCUGGUUUAAUUGUUUUUGGUUCUUUUCCUUCUCAGCUCUUUCUCAUCAGAGGCUCCUGAGAAACAUCUGUUGCUCCUCGGGAUCCCCCAAGCUGCCACGGCCUCAGGUGCUUCUGGCGUGGAGCGCCGCUGGCACCUGCCCUGGCCCGGCCCCGGCUCGGCCCGGGGCCCCGCGCAGGCCCUGCUCUUCCGGCAUUUAAGGCGCACAGCCGGUGCGGCUGCAGCUCUGGGCGGUUGAGAGAGAGAGAGAGUCGCGGCCGGCGGGACGCACGGAGCAGGAUGGGCUGCAGGCACAGCCGACCCAGCCGCUGCAAGCGCGAGGAGAAGGUGGAAGAGACACAGACAGAACUCUUGGAGAUGCUAGACAAGGAGGGAAGGAUCCUGGAAGAAAGGCGUGAGGAAGCUGGGCAAGUCCCGAAGACAUCGAAUGCCUGGGAGAAAGACACACUCAGUGACUGUGUCCAAGAGGCCAAGGCUCCAGUGCAGAACACCUGUGCAACGCUGGCCUCACCAGAGGAGACCAUCCAAGCCAAGGCGAACAAGGCGGACGGGUCCCUCCUUAGCCAGCUCUAUAAGAACCACAUCCAGGAUUAUGGGAGCCCCGGCCCAUUCUGGGAGCAAGAGCUGGAGAGUUUACACCAUGUUAUUGAGAUGAAGAAUGAGCGAAUUCACGAGCUGGAGAAGCAGCUCUUCCUCCUGGAGAUGCUGAAAGAAAAAAACCUGAUAUUAGCACUGAAGAACACCACCCUGCGGCAGGAGGUUGAGGACCUACAGUUCCAAGCUGGGAACAGGUUGGCCAUGUCAAGGUAGCCAUACCCCCUUCCCCUACCCCCGACCUUCUGCCAAAACCUCCAGCUGGGAGGGACAUGGAAGAGCCUGAGGACUGGAUUGACAAGUGGCCCCAGGACUUGUUUUGGGAAUGUGACUCCUCUUUCCUGGGGCUCAGGAAGCCCAGUUUUUCUACAUGAGAAAGAGGAAACAGGAAACAGUGCACCUGAGCAGGCAUGCGUUGGAACGAAUCAGUCCCGAGGCUGUGCAGUUCCAGAAAGAUCUAAUUCAGGACCUCGAGAAGGAGUCACAGAAUGGCCACUGCGGCAGCAGACGGAGGAGCCACUAAACCAUCUGAGUCCCUGGGGCCAGGACCUCCUCCAUCUUAUCCUGCCCUCUGCCAUGCUGCAGAGGCCUCUGUCUUCGGUGUACAGGCGCAGGGCCUGAGUCCACCAUGGUUCUCAGACUCAACACUCCCUCCAAAGAUUCUGUGGAGAAGAGGGUAUGAGCCAUGCCAUUCUUCUCCCAGGAUGGAGAAGGUGGGAAGGAGAUGUGUGUAGCCGGAAGUGCUGCUGGGGAAGUUUGGACGACCAGGACCACCCUGAGAAAUGCCUUCCCUUAGGGAACCAGGAAGUAGAGCUAUCUUUCUCCCCUUUCCUCUGUCCCCACGAGGGCAUUCAAAUCUUCUCCCACAGCAGCUGGAGCCACUUGUACCAUCUGACAAAGAGGGGACAGCCCCCAUCCCAGUGGCUGACAACUCAACUCACUGACCCAUCAAGUUUUUGUUACCACACCCCCAACUCUCUCACUCAGAGAAAACCUGUAAAAGACAGACACAAUCUAGGAAAAAGGAGCUGAGUGGGGUCUCAACACAUAGCCUAACCUUGAACUCCACAUCGCUAUGCCUCAGCCCCCUGAGCGCUGGGAACGUGGGCAUGUGCCACCACAGCCAGCCGGAUAAAGGGUUGAGUCUGCCGUAGAGCUAAGCACUGUUAAGAGCUAAGCACUGUUAAUAUUUUUAAUGGUAUUUAUCUAAGGCCUUAAUGUGAGAUUUAAAUCUUUUUAUUAAAAAUAAAAGUAUAUUUUCAUGUU